rnacentral:misc_RNA from 1 species
CCAAUAGCGUAUAUUAAAGUUGUUGUGGUUAAAAAGCUCGUAGUUGAACCUUGGGCCUGGCUGGCCGGUCCGCCUCACCGCGUGUACUGGUCCGGCCGGGCCUUUCCCUCUGUGGAACCUCAUGCCCUUCACUGGGUGUGACGGGGAAGCAGGACUUUUACUGUGAAAAAAUUAGAGUGCUCCAAGCAGGCCUAUGCUCGAAUACAUUAGCAUGGAAUAAUAAAAUAGGACGUGCGGUUCUAUUUUGUUGGUUUCUAGGACCGCCGUAAUGAUUAAUAGGGACAGUCGGGGGCAUCAGUAUUCAAUUGUCAGAGGUGAAAUUCUUGGAUUUAUUGAAGACGAACUACUGCGAAAGCAUUUGCCAAGGAUGUUUUCAUUAAUCAGGAACGAAAGUUAGGGGAUCGAAGACGAUCAGAUACCGUCGUAGUCUUAACCAUAAACUAUGCCGACUAGGGAUCGGACGAUGUUAUUUUUUGACUCGUUCGGCACCUUACG